UACAGAGGUCCCAAGCGUUGUUCGGAUUCACUGGGCGUAAAGGGUGCGUAGGCGGUCGGGUAAGUCUGAUGUGAAAUCUCACAGCUUAACUGUGAAACUGCAUUGGAUACUAUCCGGCUAGAGGAAUGGAGGGGAGACUGGAAUACUUGGUGUAGCUGUGAAAUGCGUAGAUAUCAAGUGGAACACCAGUGGCGAAGGCGAGUCUCUGGACAUUUCCUGACGCUGAGGCACGAAAGCCAGGGGAGCAAACGGG
rnacentral:rRNA from 1 species